AUCCAUCUGGGCACGGCCGGGCGUAGAUUCCGCACGCUCGGUUCGAGUUCGAGAUGUCGUCGGUGAUGGACACACCUUGUAUUUGUAAUCGCACGCAGAUGCGAAUAAUUAUUAUUUACGUCCCCUAACAUUUUUAUAAUAAUUGCUAUCAAAAAGAAACUUUCUCUUGGAUAAUUUCAGAUUGUAGAAUACCUUUCAAGGCCUUUGUGGCAAUGAAGCUGUCCGGACGCUAGUGUGUUUGGCCGGUAUUUGAAUUAUCGAGAAGGAUGUCGCGUCCGAGGCGGGGGCGCAAGCCGCUACUCUCCCGGAGUUUUAGCCGCUUCCUCGCCGAAAGUGGCUAUCCGGCGCGAUGGCGCAGAACAGCGUCAAAUACAAACUGGAAAUGCUGUUGGUAACACUGCCGCAGGCCGUCUUGCAGAGAGAUAUUAGCACGGUUGAGCUGAUGCACUCAGUCUCAGGUCCAGCCACUGCCCCGCCUAGUAAAGGAGACUUCAUCUUCGCCUUCUGUCUGGAACGCGCGGCUGCCACCUUAUUUCGGCUGCGGCGUCUCCCUAUUCUCUCUUGGUUUUUCACCUCUUGUUCGUUUUGGCGUAGGGCGAUCUCCUGCAUAGAUAUAUACGUAAGCAUGGGAAGAAGUACAAAUUAGCAAGCGCUUUAUACCAUUAUCAUUGUGACAUGAACUGCACAUCAUUACCAUCCGUUUCUAUUGCCAAUGUCACCUUCCCAAAAAUGCAUAUACCCUAUUUCCCCGAAUAUAAGUCGCACCUUUUUA